rfam:Sphaerobolus stellatus SS14 unplaced genomic scaffold SPHSTscaffold_39, whole genome shotgun sequence.
GCCUUGCUAGCUCAAUCGGUAGAGCGUGAGACUCUUAAAUUCAGUUCUUUACAGACUAAAUUAUCGAGAGAUUAUCUCAAGGUUGGGGAUUCGACCCCCCCGUAGGGCU